UUGCUAGUAAUCGCGGAUCAGCAUGCCGCGGUGAAUACGUUCCCGGGCCUUGUACACACCGCCCGUCACACCAUGGGAGCCGGUAAUACCCGAAGUCAGUGACCCAACCGUAAGGAGGGAGCUGCCGAAGGUGGAGCCGGUAACUGGGGUGAAGUCGUAACAAGGUAUC
rnacentral:rRNA from 1 species